UGGGGGAUAUUGCACAAUGGGCGAAAGCCUGAUGCAGCGACGCCGCGUGGGGGAUGAAGGCUUUCGGGUUGUAAACCUCUUUCGCUAUCGAACAAGGCCCGCUUAGGGUGGGUUGAGGGUAGGUGGAGAAGAAGCGCCGGCUAACUACGUGCCAGCAGCCGCGGUAAUACGUAGGGCGCGAGCGUUGCCCGGAAUUAUUGGGCGUAAAGGGCUUGUAGGCGGCUUGUUGCGCCUGCUGUGAAAACGCGGGGCUUAACUUCGCGCGUGCAGUGGGUACGGGCAGGCGUGAGUGUGGUAGAGGUGACUGGAAUUCCAUGUGUAGCAGUGGAAUGCGCAGAUAUCUGGAGGAACACCGAUGGCGAAGGCAGGUCACUGGGCCAUUACUGACGCUGAGGAGCGAAAGCAUGGGUAGCGAACAGG
rnacentral:rRNA from 1 species